ACCCUCUCAGGGUCAUGCCUGGAGAGUUUCCAGCAUUCUACCAGUCUCAACUAUGGGAGGGAGUCAAGUGGAGGCCUACCUAUUCCAUUCCUAGCUUGGGCAGUGGCUAGAGAGUGGAAGACAGUCUGCUACAAGU